GACGAACGCUGGCGGCGUGCUUAACACAUGCAAGUCGAACGGAAAGGCCCUGCUUUUGUGGGGUGCUCGAGUGGCGAACGGGUGAGUAACACGUGAGUAACCUGCCCUUGACUUUGGGAUAACUUCAGGAAACUGGGGCUAAUACCGGAUAGGAGCUCCUGCUGCAUGGUGGGGGUUGGAAAGUUUCGGCGGUUGGGGAUGGACUCGCGGCUUAUCAGCUUGUUGGUGGGGUAGUGGCUUACCAAGGCUUUGACGGGUAGCCGGCCUGAGAGGGUGACCGGGCACAAGGGGACUGAGGGACGGACCAGAAGCCAACCGGAGGCAGCAGUGGGGAAUUUGGCAGAGUGGGCGGAAGCCUGAUACAGCAACGCCGCGUGCGGGAUGACGGGCUACGGGUGGUAAACCACUUUCGCCGGUGACAAAGCGUGAGUGACGGUAAUGGGUAAGAAAGCACCGGCUAACUACGUG
rnacentral:rRNA from 1 species